rnacentral:rRNA from 1 species
GUUGAACGCUGGCGGCAUGCCUUACACAUGCAAGUCGAACGGUAACAGGUCUUCGGAUGCUGACGAGUGGCGAACGGGUGAGUAAUACAUCGGAACGUGCCCGAUCGUGGGGGAUAACGGAGCGAAAGCUUUGCUAAUACCGCAUAUGAUCUACGGAUGAAAGCAGGGGACCGCAAGGCCUUGCGCGAACGGAGCGGCCGAUGGCAGAUUAGGUAGUUGGUGGGAUAAAAGCUUACCAAGCCGACGAUCUGUAGCUGGUCUGAGAGGACGACCAGCCACACUGGGACGGAGACACGGCCCAGACUCCUACGGGAGGCAGCAGUGGGGAAUUUUGGACAAUGGGCGCAAGCCUGAUCCAGCCAUGCCGCGUGCAGGAUGAAGGCCUUCGGGUUGUAAACUGCUUUUGUACGGAACGAAAAGACUCUUUCUAAUAAAGAGGGUCCAUGACGGUACCGUAAGAAUAAGCACCGGCUAACUACGUGCCAGCCGCCGCCGUAACAC